rnacentral:sRNA from 1 species
UGCCAGCCAAACCCGAUUGAAACGGUAAUACUUUUUGUUUUAUUGCUGUCAUCCUGAACGCUAGUGAAGGAUCCCUAAUUUUAAUCACUGAAGAAAUAGAUAUCUAGAAACUCGGGGAUAACAACAAGCCUAAAACAAAAAGAUUAUAGUGAAAAGCGGGACUAGCC